AAGACGACUGAGGCCGUAGCGACAAGAUGUCUUCCUUCGAGGAACGAGCUGAACUCCUGAAGAAGUCAAUAGAGACUGACCAACUGAAAUACGAGAAGAUGCGCCAGUUUGCGACUGGUGAAGGCGAGCGGUAUGAGGAGGGGACGCUGGCUCUCCUCUUUCUGAGGUGCGUCCGAGCUGG